GGCGAUAUAGCUCAGUUGGUUAGAGCGACGCAUUCAUAAUGCGUAGGUCCCAGGUUCAAGUCCCGGUAUCGCCACCA
rnacentral:tRNA from 1 species